rnacentral:rRNA from 1 species
UACAGAGGGGGCAAGCGUUGUUCGGAAUUACUGGGCGUAAAGGGCGCGUAGGCGGCCAUCUAAGUCGGACGUGAAAUCCCCGGGCUCAACCCGGGAACUGCGUCCGAUACUGGAAGGCUUGAAUCCGGGAGAGGGAUGUGGAAUUCCAGGUGUAGCGGUGAAAUGCGUAGAUAUCUGGAGGAACACCGGUGGCGAAGGCGACAUCCUGGACCGGUAUUGACGCUGAGGCGCGAAAGCCAGGGGAGCAAACGGG